UGCAAGUCGAGGGGCAGCAUGGUCUUAGCUUGCUAAGGCCGAUGGCGACCGGCGCACGGGUGAGUAACGCGUAUCCAACCUGCCUUACACUCUUGGACAGCCUUCUGAAAGGGAGAUUAAUACAAGAUGUUAUCAUGAGUAAGCAUUUUCGCAUGAUUAAAGGUUUACCGGUGUAAGAUGGGGAUGCGUUCCAUUAGAUAGUAGGCGGGGUAACGGCCCACCUAGUCUUCGAUGGAUAGGGGUUCUGAGAGGAAGGUCCCCCACAUUGGAACUGAGACACGGUCCAAACUCCUACGGGAGGCAGCAGUGAGGAAUAUUGGUCAAUGGACGAGAGUCUGAACCAGCCAAGUAGCGUGAAGGAUGAAGGUUCUAUGGAUUGUAAACUUCUUUUAUACGGGAAUAAACGAAUCCACGUGUGGAUUUUUGCAUGUACCGUAUGAAUAAGGAUCGGCUAACUCCGUGCCAGCAGCCGCGGUAAUACGGAGGAUCCGAGCGUUAUCCGGAUUUAUUGGGUUUAAAGGGAGCGUAGAUGGGUUGUUAAGUCAGUUGUGAAAGUUUGCGGCUCAACCGUAAAAUUGCAAUUGAUACUGGCAGUCUUGAGUACAGUUGAGGUAGGCGGAAUUCGUGGUGUAGCGGUGAAAUGCUUAGAUAUCACGAAGAACUCCGAUUGCGAAGGCAGCUUACUAACCUGUAACUGACAUUGAUGCUCGAAAGUGUGGGUAUCAAACAGGAUUAGAUACCCUGGUAGUCCACACGGUAAACGAUGAAUACUCGCUGUAGGCGAUAUACAGUCUGCGGCCAAGCGAAAGCAUUAAGUAUUCCACCUGGGGAGUACGCCGGCAACGGUGAAACUCAAAGGAAUUGACGGGGGCCCGCACAAGCGGAGGAACAUGUGGUUUAAUUCGAUGAUACGCGAGGAACCUUACCCGGGCUUAAAUUGCAACCGAAUAUGGCGGAAACGCUAUAGCUAGCAAUAGCGGUUGUGAAGGUGCUGCAUGGUUGUCGUCAGCUCGUGCCGUGAGGUGUCGGCUUAAGUGCCAUAACGAGCGCAACCCUUGCCGAUAGUUACUAACAGGUCAUGCUGAGGACUCUGUCGGGACUGCCAUCGUAAGAUGUGAGGAAGGUGGGGAUGACGUCAAAUCAGCACGGCCCUUACGUCCGGGGCUACACACGUGUUACAAUGGGGGGUACAGAGGGCUGCUACCACGCAAGUGGAUGCCAAUCCCAAAAACCUCUCUCAGUUCGGAUUGAAGUCUGCAACCCGACUUCAUGAAGCUGGAUUCGCUAGUAAUCGCGCAUCAGCCACGGCGCGGUGAAUACGUUCCCGGGCCUUGUACACACCGCCCGUCAAGCCAUGGGAGCCGGGGGUACCUGAAGUGCGUAACCGC
rnacentral:rRNA from 1 species